rnacentral:rRNA from 1 species
UACAGAGGGUGCGAGCGUUGUUCGGAAUUAUUGGGCGUAAAGGGCGCGUAGGCGGUGCGGUAAGUCACCUGUGAAAUCUCCUGGCUCAACUGGGAGCUUGCAGGCGAAACUGCCGGGCUAGAGUCCGGAAGAGGCGAGUGGAACUCCUGGUGUAGCGGUGGAAUGCGCAGAUAUCAGGAAGAACACCAACGGCGAAGGCAGCUCGCUGGGACGGUACUGACGCUGAGACGCGAAAGCGUGGGGAGCGAACAGG